rnacentral:rRNA from 1 species
UACAGAGGUCCCGAGCGUUGUUCGGAUUCACUGGGCGUAAAGGGUGCGUAGGUGGCAUGGUAAGUUUGAUGUGAAAGCUCAGGGCUCAACCCUGAAAUGGCAUUGAAUACUACUGUGCUGGAGGUUUGGAGGGGGGACUGGAAUUCUUGGUGUAGCAGUGAAAUGCGUAGAUAUCAAGAGGAACACCAGUGGCGAAGGCGAGUCCCUGGACAACACCUGACACUGAGGCACGAAAGCCAGGGGAGCAAACGGG